UCAAAAGAGAAGGAUAUUAAACCCUCAUCCCCAGCCCCCAAGCCGGAAUCUUUUAUUAAAC
rnacentral:tRNA from 1 species